CCCGAAAUAUAGUAGGGAAGUCCGCGAUGCUGGGAGGCGAGAAAAGCUCUGGUGUACACUAAGGUGCCCGUACCGCAAACCGACGCAGGUAGAUGAGGAGAGAAUCCUAAGGCCAACGGGAGAAGGGUUGUUAAGGAACUCGGCAAAUUGACCCCGUAACUUCGGAAGAAGGGGAGCCUCGAAAGAGGCCGCAGUGAAUAGGCCCAAGCAACUGUUUACCAAAAACACAGGUCUAUGCUAAAUCGAAAGAUGACGUAUAUGGGCUGACGCCUGCCCGGUGCCGGAAGGUUAAGAGGAGAGCUUAGCGCAAGCGAAGGUUUGAAUUGAAGCCCCGGUAAACGGCGGCCGUAACGAUAACGGUCCUAAGGUAGCGAAAUUCCUUGUCAGGUAAGUUCUGACCCGCACGAAUGGCGUAAUGAUUUGGGCACUGUCUCGACAGCCCGCCCGGCGAAAUUGUAGUACUGGUGAAGAUGCCAGUUACCCGCAACUAGACGGAAAGACCCCAUGGAGCUUUACUGCAGUUUAAUACUGGGAAUCGGUAAUUCAUGUACAGGAUAGGUGGGAGACUGAGAAGCAUGGCCGUCAGGUCGUGUGGAGUCACCGGUGGGAUACCACUCUUGGAUUGCUGGUUUCCUAACCUGCGGCCCUGAAUCGGGUCGGGGGACACUGUUAGACGGGCAGUUUGACUGGGGCGGUCGCCUCCAAAAGGGUAACGGAGGCGCUCAAAGGUUCGUUCAGCACGGACGGAAAUCGUGCAUUGAGUGUAAACGCAUAAACGAGCCUAACUGCGAGACCGACGGGUCGAGCAGUAACGAAAGUUGGAGUUAGUGAUCCGGUGGUAUGUGAGUGGAAAUGCCAUCGCUCAACGGAUAAAAGCUACCCUGGGAUAACAGGCUGAUCUCCCCCAAGCGUCCACAGCGACGGGGAGGUUUGGCACCCCGAUGUCGGCUCGUCGCAUCCUGGGGCUGUAUUCGGUCCCAAGGGUUUGGCUGUUCGCCAAUUAAAGCGGCACGCGAGCUGGGUUCAGAACGUCGUGAGACAGUUCGGUCCCUAUCUGUUGCGGGCGUAAGAGAUUUGAAGGGAGCUGUCCUUAGUACGAGAGGACCGGGAUGGACGUACCUCUGGUGCACCAGUUGUCCUGCCAAGGGCAUAGCUGGGUAGCUAUGUACGGACGAGAUAAACGCUGAAAGCAUCUAAGCGUGAAACUCUCCCUAAGAUGAGAUCUCUCAUCCAUUAUGGAGUAAGGGCCCAGAAAGACGAUCUGGUUGAUAGGCCGGAGGUGGAAGCGCGGUAACGUGUGCAGCUGACCGGUACUAAUAGCCCGAGGGCUUGACCU
rnacentral:rRNA from 1 species